UACGUAGGCAGCAAGCGUUGUUCGGAGUUACUGGGCGUAAAGGGUGUGUAGGCGGUUUUCUAAGUCUGGUGUGAAAUCUCCCGGCUCAACUGGGAGGGUGCGCCGAAAACUGGAAGGCUAGAGUACUGGAUGGGAGAGUGGAAUUCCUGGUGUAGCGGUGAAAUGCGUAGAUAUCAGGAGGAACACCUGUGGUGUAGACGGCUCUCUGGACAGUAACUGACGCUGAGACACGAAAGCGUGGGUAGCAAACAGG
rnacentral:rRNA from 1 species